CGGGAAAAGCUCAAAUUUGAAAGCUGGUAGUCUUUGGCUGCCCGCAUUGUAAUCUAGAGAAGUGUUACCCGCGUUGGACCGUGUACAAGUCUCCUGGAAUGGAGCGUCAUAGAGGGUGACAAUCCCGUCUUUGACACGGACUACCAGGGCUUUGUGGUGCGCUCUCAAA
rnacentral:rRNA from 1 species